GACCAAGGGUUCCUGUCCAACGUUAAUCGGGGCAGGGUGAGUCGACCCCUAAGGCGAGGCCGAAAGGCGUAGUCGAUGGGAAACAGGUUAAUAUUCCUGUACUUGGUGUUACUGCGAAGGGGGGACGGAGAAGGCUAUGUUGGCCGGGCGACGGUUGUCCCGGUUUAAGCGUGUAGGCUGGUUUUCCAGGCAAAUCCGGAAAAUCAAGGCUGAGGCGUGAUGACGAGGCACUACGGUGCUGAAGCAACAAAUGCCCUGCUUCCAGGAAAAGCCUCUAAGCAUCAGGUAACAUCAAAUCGUACCCCAAACCGACACAGGUGGUCAGGUAGAGAAUACCAAGGCGCUUGAGAGAACUCGGGUGAAGGAACUAGGCAAAAUGGUGCCGUAACUUCGGGAGAAGGCACGCUGAUAUGUAGGUGAAGCGACUUGCUCGUGGAGCUGAAAUCAGUCGAAGAUACCAGCUGGCUGCAACUGUUUAUUAAAAACACAGCACUGUGCAAACACGAAAGUGGACGUAUACGGUGUGACGCCUGCCCGGUGCCGGAAGGUUAAUUGAUGGGGUUAGCGCAAGCGAAGCUCUUGAUCGAAGCCCCGGUAAACGGCGGCCGUAACUAUAACGGUCCUAAGGUAGCGAAAUUCCUUGUCGGGUAAGUUCCGACCUGCACGAAUGGCGUAAUGAUGGCCAGGCUGUCUCCACCCGAGACUCAGUGAAAUUGAACUCGCUGUGAAGAUGCAGUGUACCCGCGGCAAGACGGAAAGACCCCGUGAACCUUUACUAUAGCUUGACACUGAACAUUGAGCCUUGAUGUGUAGGAUAGGUGGGAGGCUUUGAAGUGUGGACGCCAGUCUGCAUGGAGCCGACCUUGAAAUACCACCCUUUAAUGUUUGAUGUUCUAACGUUGACCCGUAAUCCGGGUUGCGGACAGUGUCUGGUGGGUAGUUUGACUGGGGCGGUCUCCUCCUAAAGAGUAACGGAGGAGCACGAAGGUUGGCUAAUCCUGGUCGGACAUCAGGAGGUUAGUGCAAUGGCAUAAGCCAGCUUGACUGCGAGCGUGACGGCGCGAGCAGGUGCGAAAGCAGGUCAUAGUGAUCCGGUGGUUCUGAAUGGAAGGGCCAUCGCUCAACGGAUAAAAGGUACUCCGGGGAUAACAGGCUGAUACCGCCCAAGAGUUCAUAUCGACGGCGGUGUUUGGCACCUCGAUGUCGGCUCAUCACAUCCUGGGGCUGAAGUAGGUCCCAAGGGUAUGGCUGUUCGCCAUUUAAAGUGGUACGCGAGCUGGGUUUAGAACGUCGUGAGACAGUUCGGUCCCUAUCUGCCGUGGGCGCUGGAGAACUGAGGGGGGCUGCUCCUAGUACGAGAGGACCGGAGUGGACGCAUCACUGGUGUUCGGGUUGUCAUGCCAAUGGCACUGCCCGGUAGCUAAAUGCGGAAGAGAUAAGUGCUGAAAGCAUCUAAGCACGAAACUUGCCCCGAGAUGAGUUCUCCCUGACUCCUUGAGAGUCCUGAAGGAACGUUGAAGACGACGACGUUGAUAGGCCGGGUGUGUAAGCGCAGCGAUGCGUUGAGCUAACCGGUACUAAUGAACCGUGAGGCUUAACCUU
rnacentral:rRNA from 1 species